UACAUAUAUAUAUCAAAUGUACCUCUCGGUAUACAGUACCAUAUUGUACCGAGCGAAUCUCAAAACUCUGAUAUGGUAUGAAAUUUCAAUCCUUGUCCUGAAUAUACAUUUAUUAUUCAUUAUAAUCCUUGUCCUGAACAUAUAUUUGUUAUUCAUUAUAAGUUUUUGGCUUUUGUAUAUUGGAUCUUAAGUUGCUAGACUAAAAAUGUAUGUAUUGGAAUGAAAUCCUACAGAAACAAGAUGUCUAAUUAGUUUAUGUCAACUAAUCUAGACAAAAGUAAAUAAAUAAUGGGUCGGACGGAUAGUUUACAUAUAUGAUUCAAGUUUCAAAAAUUCUAUAUAUUCUUGCAAAACUCUUAGGAUAUGCCGAAAUAAAAGUUGCAAUUGAUCACAACAAGAAAAAAGAUAUAACUUAAUUCCUCGAUGGUGUGACAAAAUUUGAACAUUUUUUUUGUAUUACAAUAUAUGUCUCUUUAACUCAAGUCCAUGAUAGUGUAAUCAAUUUAAUUGUCUUCUUUUAUAUAAAUUAUUAUCUGAAAGAGUCUUCCCAUAUUUUCUUAAUUUCUGAUUUUUUUAUUUUAGUACACUUGUUAAUGGAGCUAUCUCUUGAUCUUCCAAGGCAUUCUCUCAUUAAGAUAUUAGGACAAGCUACCCAGUUGAUAUAUGGAUCUGAAAAUUGAAUAAAAGUUACAUAAAGAUUGCAUCUUUCAUGAAACAAAUAGGAUAAAUAUUUAUAUAGUUGGGUUUCCUUACCACAAAUGGAGUACCAAUAGACUAGAUUAAUUAAAAAUGUUCUCACCUUGAACGUUAGGCAGGAGGCAAGGUUAGGAGGAACAAAUUUAAAUGGACAAAUUUAUCUUAUAUAAGUAUUUGUUAGACGUAAAUAAAUUUUUGCUUAGUUGUAAACAAGAUGAAACAUGUUCAAUCUAGUAGAGUUAUUAUGUUGAUGUGAAUGCCUCAAUCGAGAACUUCAUUUUCUCUAGGAUUUUCUGCAUUGGAAGUCGUUGUGUCAUAGGUUAGUGAUAUGUUCAGAGAUGGCUAUGCUUAAUUUCCCCCUUUCUCCACCAAAAUCACAGCCAUAGAGAAAACAAACUUUCUUAUGUUUUUAUGUGUUGGCAAAAAAAUGUUUCUCAUUGUUAGGUUUAAAAAAACGAGUAGUGCCAUGAUUCAAAGGCCUCUUUGUUGUCUAAUUAGACAGAAGUAUACUUAUUUUUUGGAUCUACAAUUGUCACUUUUAAAUUCCUUCUAGGUGUUUCAAUUUUGAUCUUUCUCAAAGAAAAUUAGUUUCUUUACUUGAUUUCUUGUUAUGAGUACCAAUGUUUCUAACAUCGCCAAUGUCGGUCCCAAGCCCGAAUGAAAAAGGUGGAGGGUUGCUUAAGGCCAUAAAAAGCCAGUGUUGAAAACAUGUUAGUACUCAUAAGCAUGAUCCUAACUGUUUCAUGGUAAGACUAGUCUGUCUGGUAGCGGGCGGUUCGCGUACUGGUAUGUCGUCGGAUCGGUACGUAUCGCCCGUACCGGGUGGUACCAAUCUAAAUUGGUUGGACCAAGAUUGACAAUCCUUGGAACAUGAUGAGAUAAACUACUCCACUCUAUUUGACUUUGUGAACUAAAAUUUGAUGGUUAAUUUUUUUUUUUAACUUUUUAUUGGCAGCUGCAAUGACAUAUAUGAAUCUCCAAUUGAAUUGUGAGAGACACGAUGGCUAUGCAGGUCCAUUUCUCAAAGGAUUUGGACUGCCAUUUACAAGGACAAGUCUCCACAUUGUUAGUUACAGAUGCUCUUUUGUUUCUUCUUUGCAUUUUGUUCUGUAAUAUUUUGUGUCAAACAUUGAAAUAAUUAUAGAUGAUGUGUUCCAUAUUACUUAAUAGAAAUUCUUUUGCUUUUUGGCUUUCCACGUGUUCAAAAGUGUUCUUUCUUAGUUUAGAGGAUUCCACAAUAAGUUUAUGAAGAAACUAAUGUUAAUUAAAUUAUUUUUUCAUGCAUAUUAUGUGAAUGGAUAUGGUUUCUUAUCAAAUCAAUUUACAACCUGAUUUGGCAAUUUUGUACUUGAAUAGUUGGGUCUGUCUUCAAUAUUUGAUGAAAUUGUUAAAACUGAAGUAACCAGGCACAUGCAACCUACUGAUUACUUGAGCUUGUUUGGGGAAGAAUUCAAAUGAACUGAAGAUUAUUGGGAUGCUUCUUAUUUGAAUGUCUUGGAUAUAUCUGCAGCGGAAGAAGGCAGUCCUCAUGUCUUAUUUGGAUGUGCUUCACAAGUAUGUUCUAAAUGAUCACCUACCCUAUAAUGUUUUUUAAACUAAUUAUCCUAUUUUUUUCCUAUUGGAAUAACUUUUAGCCACCAGGAGUCUGCUUCUGUAACUAAAUUGUCGAGUGUUUACAUUCUUUUAUAAUGAAUAAAUAGCCUCUCUUGUUCUGCAAAUUGGCUAACAGUAAUUCAAAUUUUUGGUGCCUAUUACCACUUAUACAAGCACUGCUUCCAGGUGAAAGGUCUCUGUUUUAAGUUAAAACUUUUAACACCUUUUACUAGUUUAUAUAUUAAUUAAUUUGGAUGGAUUCUGAUUUCCUUUCAUUUGAUGGCACGUCUUCCUCCAAUUAGCCUCCUAAAUCAAGUUGAUGAUAGUUUUUUCUUGUGGAAACAUCCUUCUGUCCAGCAUGCUCUCUCUCAGGUUCAGCAGUGAUGCAUCUGGGUGAUAUACGUUACAUGCAUUUGUAUUCUUAUCAAAAGUCUCAACAAUUCAUAUUAAUCUGUUGUUGCAGAUAAUAAUAAUUUCAUCGUCAUCUUCUUAAUGCUUGUGCGGGCUAUCUGUCUUCAUUCUUAUCAUCUCGUGUUUGUUGGUUUCAUACCAAGUUUAAUUAUGAAUAGACAACUUACUUUUUGGCUUUCUAAGUAAGCAUUUAUUUUUCAAUCUUCAGGCAAAAGCAGCAUGUGUAUUGAUUGAUUUAUGCUUUGGACCAUUAUCACCAUGGAUAUAUACAAUUACUGCAAAGGUUGAUCUUGCAAUUGAACUUCCGGAGGACCUCUUGGUGUUAUUCAAACGGGUGGUCUAAGCAGUCGCCAAAAGGAACAUAAAAAGAAGAUGCCUCUUUCUGCCAAAAGAGCAAAAGUAGCUCGCUCUAGGCAGGAGAAAAAACAGCGGCAAAGGCGGUCAGGCAAGCAGUUCCAGGGAAGGAAAGCAUGGAAGUGACAAAAUUUCAUAGCUUCCUAAAAUUUCAUGGCUUCGUAAAGUGACAAGAUUUCGUAAAAUUUUGACCCCAUGCAGUUUCUUCCAUUAGAAAAUUUCAUUUCAAAAGUUAUGAUUUCUGCUUAGAAUUUUGAUUUAUUUUCUUCUGUUGUGUAAGUCUUUAGCUGAUUUCAGAUGAGCUAUAUGUAAAUCAAAGCUGCCUUUUGUCUUGAAUGCUGUUGCAAGGAAAUAGAGCAACAGAUUUUAUUGAUUGUGUUUCAA